rnacentral:rRNA from 1 species
GACGAACGCUGGCGGCGUGCUUAACACAUGCAAGUCGAACGGAAAGGCCCUGCUUUUGUGGGGUGCUCGAGUGGCGAACGGGUGAGUAACACGUGAGUAACCUGCCCUUGACUUUGGGAUAACUUCAGGAAACUGGGGCUAAUACCGGAUAGGAGCUCCUGCUGCAUGGUGGGGGUUGGAAAGUUUCGGCGGUUGGGGAUGGACUCGCGGCUUAUCAGCUUGUUGGUGGGGUAGUGGCUUACCAAGGCUUUGACGGGUAGCCGGCCUGAGAGGGUGACCGGCCACAUUGGGACUGAGGUACGGCCCAGACUCCUACGGGAGGCAGCAGUGGGGAAUAUUGCACAAUGGGCGGAAGCCUGAUGCAGCAACGCCGCGUGCGGGAUAACGGCCUUCGGGUGGUAAACCGCUUUCGCCUGUGACGAAGCGUGAGUGACGGUAAUGGGUAAAGAAGCACCGGCUAACUACGUG